AGCCAGACAAUAACACCAAUGGGAUCAUAUUCAUCAGAAGAUGUCAGCCCCUCUGUAAAAUUUACAUAACUUGAAUUUGGAGUUGGGGUGGGGGGAGCGGAGGGAAGCAGAUCAAAAAAUAAAUAAAGAAUGUUGGAAGAAGAAGUGGAAAGAGGAAAGCUGCUGUUUGGGAGAGGCUGCUGGAGAAGCUGCCUAUCUACACAUCCCUGCUGAAGGAUCUUUUGGGCAGGUCUCACCAGCCUGGUUUGUAUUCCUGUCAGGGGGGUGGCUUUCUGUAAAGACCCCAUGGCCAGGGUAAAGUCCCCAUCCUGCAUAAGGUACCAAAACCUGUGAGUCUUGGAGGAGAAGGAAGAGCUGGAAAGGAGAAAGUCUGAACAGGCUCUUGCUGCUGCUGUGACUGCAUUGGUGUGUGUGGAGGAAAGCUGCAACCUCUUCAUUCGUCUCUGGACUUGCAGAACUCGUGAUUCCAUGAGCUGGUGACUGCGGUGACCCACACCCUGAGGCAGCUGCCUUUCCGAGAAGCUCACCUCUAUAAAACACCCACCACUGCUGAGAGAGCAAUUUGUCAGCCCCCUCGAAUGAGGAGUGCCAGAAAAGGAUGCCUUUAUGCCUGCUUGGGAGAGAGCUGCUCCUAUCUAGGUCUGAGAGCCACGUGCCAUCACUUGUUUGUCUGACCUGCUGCUCUGUGGACCAGCCAUGCCUGUCAAAGCAGGGUCAGAGAGCAGAAGGCAGGCUUGCAAGCCUAUGCUGGGAUGGAGAGAGAAAUGUGGGCAAAGGAAUAAAGGAAUGCAAGUGC